rnacentral:rRNA from 1 species
UACGGAGGAUGCAAGCGUUAUCCGGAUUUACUGGGUUUAAAGGGUGCGUAGGUGGAUAAUUAAGUCAGUGGUGAAAUCUUCAGGCUUAACCUGGAAACUGCCAUUGAUACUAUUUAUCUUGAAUACUUUGGAGGUAAGCGGAAUAUGUCAUGUAGCGGUGAAAUGCUUAGAUAUGACAUAGAACACCAAUUGCGAAGGCAGCUUACUACACAGUAAUUGACACUGAGGCACGAAAGCGUGGGGAUCAAACAGG